rnacentral:rRNA from 1 species
CGAUGAUGCCCAGCUUGCUGGGUGGAUUAGUGGCGAACGGGUGAGUAAUACGUGAGUAACCUGCCCUUGACUCUGGGAUAAGCCUGGGAAACCGGGUCUAAUACUGGAUACGACUUCUCAUCGCAUGGUGGGGGGUGGAAAGGGUUCACUGGUUUUGGAUGGGCUCACGGCCUAUCAGCUUGUUGGUGGGGUAAUGGCUCACCAAGGCGACGACGGGUAGCCGGCCUGAGAGGGUGACCGGCCACACUGGGACUGAGACACGGCCCAGACUCCUACGGGAGGCAGCAGUGGGGAAUAUUGCACAAUGGGCGGAAGCCUGAUGCAGCGACGCCGCGUGAGGGAUGACGGCCUUCGGGUUGUAAACCUCUUUCAGCAGGGAAGAAGCGAGAGUGACGGUACCUGCAGAAGAAGCGCCGGCUAACUACGUGCCAGCAGCCGCGGUAAUACGUAGGGCGCAAGCGUUGUCCGGAAUUAUUGGGCGUAAAGAGCUCGUAGGCGGUCUGUCGCGUCUGCUGUGAAAGCCCGGGGCUCAACCCCGGGUCUGCAGUGGGUACGGGCAGACUAGAGUGCAGUAGGGGAGACUGGAAUUCCUGGUGUAGCGGUGAAAUGCGCAGAUAUCAGGAGGAACACCGAUGGCGAAGGCAGGUCUCUGGGCUGUUACUGACGCUGAGGAGCGAAAGCAUGGGGAGCGAACAGGAUUAGAUACCCUGGUAGUCCAUGCCGUAAACGUUGGGCACUAGGUGUGGGGGGC